rnacentral:rRNA from 1 species
UAAUACAGUGUGCAUUAUUGCAUCUGAAGUAUCCUGUUUUUAAUUUUUUUAAAGGAAACUUAGUGAAGUGACGUAUAUAUCCUGCUCUGAUGAACGUGAUGUAGCAAAGAACCAUGCAGAUAGUAAAUAUAAGUUACUUGAUAAGAAAGGUUAGUUUGAAAUAUGUGGUCAUUGGGAGUUAAGAAAAUGUGGCAGAUUUUUUCUUCAGAUUAUGCGCUUUGCAUGGUCAUCUAUCUUUUGCGAUGUCUGCAUUCUAAAAUCAUAUUUAGAUGAUGUGAUUACUUCAGAUAUUUGGUGUUGGUGACUGGUCGCAUUUCGUAUCUAUUGGUGGCUGAUCAUCAGAUUUUCUAAGUCUUCCCGUUGCUUACCCAAAAAAUCAUACGAAGAGUAGUCGGAUUUAGUGUGGCAGUUCUUGUGCAACAUUCCUG